UACGGGGGGGGUAAGCGUUGUUCGGAAUUACUGGGCGUAAAGGGCUCGUAGGCGGCCAACUAAGUCAUACGUGAAAUCCCUCAGCUUAACUGGGGAACUGCGUGUGAUACUGGAUGGCUUGGAUUUGGGAGAGGGAUGCGGAAUUCCAGGUGUAGCGGUGAAAUGCGUAGAUAUCCGGAGGAACACCGGUGGCGAAGGCGGGUCUCUGGGACGUUACUGACGCUGAGACGCGAAAGCGUGGGGAGCAAACAGG
rnacentral:rRNA from 1 species